rnacentral:rRNA from 1 species
AUGCUUUCAUCAUCUGCUGCUUCUUUUUCCUUGCAAACAGUUCCAUGUUUACAUUCUACAUUGCCCGCAGAGGAAGCCGCCUCGCCGCCGAGGCAUCGACACCGGGCUGUCCAUGCCGGUGCUGCCGGAAACAGGCCGCCGUUGGUACCUUGCAGGUUCCGACGGGGCGCUUGUUACCCGGCCGCCGCGUUCAGGCUUGCGGUGAUGGCUGCGCUUGUCGAGCCAAGCGACGAUGUCGGCAAAGACCAGCUCCACAUUGUCGUCGGGCUCGCCGGCGGUGAGGCCGUGCCACAUCCCCGGGUAGAGCUUGAUGGUCUUGUCGGCGCUGGCGGCCCGGUCGUACAGCGCGCGGCUGACCUCCGGGUCGGUCACGGUGUCCGCCUCGCCGUGCAGGAUGAAGAAGGGCAUCCUGACCUCGGACAGGCUGUCCUCGACGUCCAUGCUGGUCCUCAGCAGCUCCAGCGCCGUCUUGAGCCGCGGCUUGUCCUGGUAGAUGAGCUUGUUCCUCCUGAUCUUUUCGCGCUUGACGGGGUCCUUGAAGGCGGAGUCGAUGACGUCCUUGGUUGGGACGAUCUUCCAGGUCGGGAUGAGCUCCUCCACCUGCGUCAGGAGGGUCACCACCACCGGAUGCGGCUUCACCUUCUCCGAUAUCUGCACCACCAAAAGCAACAACCUGCAUUUGAGCUAGCAGGCAGAGGCAGGCAUUGCAGUUCAAGUCCAUUGCGGUAG